GCAUAAAUCUGAGAAACAAACCACAUUUGUUCCGGACCUGGAAUGCCUUCCGGACCUGGGAUCCUGCCUUCUGAUGGAGAUAAUCAAAGACUGGGGCCCUCAGGGCGAAGUGAGAGUAUGGGUACUGAUGGACAGGCAGGAAGGAAGGAAGACCAGAGAUGGAUUCACAACCGUUGCCAUUGCUCUACUCCAAAUACAGCAUGCCAAAUGGAUCUACAAUUUUGCUAUUUUUAUGUGAUAUAGUUAACAUCCAACAUUUUAUUGAUAAUUACAUUGAUAACUAUUGAAAUAUACUACUUGGUUUUUGAUUGACGUAGAAUAGAAACACCUGAAAAAGCGACUUUUUUUUACCCAUUUUUCUCGUAACCAUACCAUGCAAUACUACCAAACCAAACCAUACUAAACUCAACAAAAAAAGAAACAUCCCUUUUUCAGGACCCAUUCUGUGACGUGCUCAGUUUUUUGGCGACAUGAAGCUUUCAUUAGACCAAUGAAAUUGCCGAACGGGUUAAGGUCAAAGAACUUUUUUGUUUACUGUUUAGAUUAAAUCGAGCGCUCUCAAACUUCCCAUCAUUCUGAUUACGGUAGUCAUUUUGUCACCCUCAUCAUGGCAAAGACACGGAGAAAUGCAUAUGAUGCAGCUUUCAAGUUGAAGGCGAUUGAUCUGGCUGUUGGAAAAGGAAAAGGAGCUGCUGCACGGGAGCUUGGUAUUAAUGAGUCGAUGAUAAGGCGUUGGAAACAGCAGCGUGAGGAAUUGACUCAGUGCAAAAAGACAACUAAAGCUUACUGCAAAUUUUUUAUUUUUUGUUACAAGCCGUGUUUCGUUAAAGCCUAUUUAUUUUUGUUACAAGCCGUGUUUCGUUAAAGCCUAUUUAUUUUUGUUACAAGCCGUGUUUCGUUAAAGCCUGUGUAAAGUACAUUUGUUUCAAUGUACCGGUAGGCACCUGCGGCUUAUAGACAUGUGCGGCUUAUCCUGUUAGGGCUAGGGGGCAGUAUUGACACGGCUGGAUAAAAAACAU
rnacentral:lncRNA from 1 species